rnacentral:rRNA from 1 species
CACUCCUGCGGGAGGCAGCAGUGGGGAAUAUUGCACAAUGGGCGCAAGCCUGAUGCAGCCAUGCCGCGUGUAUGAAGAAGGCCUUCGGGUUGUAAAGUACUUUCAGCGGGGAGGAAGGCAAUACGGUUAAUAACCGUGUUGAUUGACGUUACCCGCAGAAGAAGCACCGGCUAACUCCGUGCCAGCAGCCGCGGUAAUACGGAGGGUGCAAGCGUUAAUCGGAAUUACUGGGCGUAAAGCGCACGCAGGCGGUCUGUCAAGUCGGAUGUGAAAUCCCCGGGCUCAACCUGGGAACUGCAUUCGAAACUGGCAGGCUUGAGUCUUGUAGAGGGGGGUAGAAUUCCAGGUGUAGCGGUGAAAUGCGUAGAGAUCUGGAGGAAUACCGGUGGCGAAGGCGGCCCCCUGGACAAAGACUGACGCUCAGGUGCGAAAGCGUGGGGAGCAAACAGGAUUAGAUACCCGAGUAGUCCCAUGA